AAGUCGUAACAAGGUAUCCGUAGGUGAACCUGCGGAUGGAUCAUUAUCAAAGGUUAUACCUGUGUCUUGUGAACUUUGUCAAAGUCAGUAUAGCGUGUCUUUAUUGAUACGUCUAUGCUGGCUAUCAUUAUCACGUUGCAUUGACUGACGUCUGUUGACAUAUAGUUAACUAUAUACAACUUUUAGCAAUGGAUCUCUUGGCUCUU
rnacentral:misc_RNA from 1 species